rnacentral:lncRNA from 1 species
UAUAAUUCUUAUAUGAUUUGCAUAUCUAUAAAUAAUUGAAUUGGAUUGGUCAAUGAGAAUUUUUCUCUAAGUUUACACUUCGAUAAACCAUGUUUCCGAAACUACUUUUGUAAUCUAUUCAUGCGCGAUACACAAGCUUGCAGGGAUCCCGGGAUUUUCAGCAAAUUGAGAUUUAAAAACAAUUGCAUAACAGUUGUGACUAUUCUAGUGCAUACAUAAUAAAAAAAAACGAAACAAAUUAAAUGCACUAAAGCUUCGAAAAUGUAUAAAAAUAAAAUUUAAUAAAAUUCCGCGAAAUUUCAUGAAGGUUUUGGCGAAUUUACGUCAUGGCAAAACACGACGUCAUACGAAUAGAAAUUUUCAAGGGAAAGAUUAUUUCGUUACGUGUACGCUUCAAAUUCGGAU